rnacentral:rRNA from 1 species
AGUGAACGCUGGCGGUAGGCCUAACACAUGCAAGUCGAACGGCAGCACAGUAAGAGCUUGCUCUUACGGGUGGCGAGUGGCGGACGGGUGAGGAAUACAUCGGAAUCUACUUUUUCGUGGGGGAUAACGUAGGGAAACUUACGCUAAUACCGCAUACGACCUACGGGUGAAAGCAGGGGAUCUUCGGACCUUGCGCGAUUGAAUGAGCCGAUGUCGGAUUAGCUAGUUGGCGGGGUAAAGGCCCACCAAGGCGACGAUCCGGAGCUGGUCUGAGAGGAUGAUCAGCCACACUGGAACUGAAACACGGUCCAGACUCCUAAGGGAGGCAGCAGUGGGGAAUAUUGGACAAUGGGCGCAAGCCUGAUCCAGCCAUACCGCGUGGGUGAAGAAGGCCUUCGGGUUGUAAAGCCCUUUUGUUGGGAAAGAAAAGCAGCAGGUUAAUACCACGCUGUUCUGACGGUACCCAAAGAAUAAGCACCGGCUAACUUCGUG